rnacentral:lncRNA from 1 species
CUUUAUGAGUGUCUGAUGCAUUUGGCAAGUUAGCCGCAAUGGUUUGCUGCAUCACAAGGAGCAGUCGGAGGAAUAACUAUUCUUGAAUGAUUAUAAUUUAGUGCAAACUCAUUCUUUGUAUGUUCCACUAAACAUAAAAAAUAAUUAGUAUCUAAGAUUAAUAACAAUGUUAAACUGGCCAACAUAAUUAUCACUUUCCGAACACAAAUUAAUAAACCUCUUAAUCUUUUCCACUUCCAGUUCUUCAACUCAUCGGUACAUGCAAUACGGAGAGAGAGAUUGUUGCACAUGUUAAGAAGGAAAUAGAUUUUACCAAAUCAUUGAGUCCAUUUGAAUACAGAAGAACCAAUUUUUCUGUAACUUUUCUUCUCCUUGUUUCACAAACUUAUUUGACCACAAAGCUCACCAUACGUCUUCGCUUCUGAUUCCCAUAAUGUUGGCCAAUAGGUUCGUAUGUGAAUUUCCUUUCAGCCACAAUUUGAUUGUAGCCUUCAAACAACUCUGCUAAAUGCAAAAUAGAUAGUCAAAGAAUAGUGAUUUCCUGCAAAAGAAAUUUAACGACAAAAUCCUGUCCCAGACAGGAAAGAGAGAAAACUGUAAGUUUUAACUUUAUGUGGCAACAUAGAGACAUCCUCUGUAAUCUCUUAAACAUAACAUGGAAAUACAGCUAAUAUGAAAAAUUGAACUUAUUUUCCUUUCAUUCAUAUCAUGUAACAGAACCAAGUGUCAUUAACUCAUAAUUGUAAUAUGACAAAUCAGGUGAUACUUGACAUGUAUGUAUAGUACUGAGUAAGCCAAGAGGAAAUUCGUUAGUGCUAAAUUGAACAAUAUUCAAUAAGCUUUCUCACCUUUAAGGAGUUUUACAUCCAUAGAACUCUAAUGUCCACAGCCACAAAUAUUGAAUAGUAUAAGCAACUGGUUACAUGUAAUUAUCACUUAUAAAGGUUCUGUUUUUUGCUCAAAUGGUUACUUUUAGACCAUAGCUCAUGCCUUGAACAAAUUCAAAUAUCAAUUCAUGUCAAGCACAUACAUCAUACAAAAAGGAAAUUAUUCAUGUACAGAUAGGUCAUGUCUUACUACAGAAAUCUUCUUUAAAUCUCCAACAGAAACAUUCAAGGUUUCAUCUUUGAUAAGGUAGAACAUUUAAGGUUUCGACCUCUAAGCAAAAUUUUGACAGAAAAAAAAAAGCUUAGAAAAAUAUUUUGUUACCUCCUUCUGUAGUAAUGCCAAGAAAUGCUUAAAACGUUAAAGCUCCCGUAGUACAUUAUUCCUCUAACAAAAAAGAAUAUAGACUAACUAUAGAUAAUCAAUAGAAAAGCUUUCAUUUCUCUAACUGAAAAGAAUAUACACUAACUAUAAAUAAUCAAUAGACAAGAUUUCAAGUAUAAAAGAAUAUAACAGAAAAAGUCUCUCAAGUUGCCUAUUCUGUGGAGAGCUUGUUAGUCGAAAAACUAUCAAUCUUGUUUAGACAAACAACAAAUUUAACAUCUAACCUUGUGUAGAAACGAAAAAAGAAUUUCCCGUCACGAGAGCAAUUACUCCAUCAACUCAUGAAAAAUGCUGUGACGUUCUUGUCAACAAGAUUAUCGUUCUUUAGCUUGCCAGAAAAGUAUGUGUUUGAAAUCAGGGGAAUAAGUUUUUAGCAUUAAAUUCACUAUACUUAGCAUAAGGGCAGUAGAAAACACGAGUUCAUAGUUGUACAAUCCAUUGUCAUUUGAUGUCAUACCAACUUAAAAAAUUACAAAUGCACAAAACACCUAUACACACGUUCAAGUGCAAAGUUUUGCAGAAUAAAUUCAUUCUAAGUAUCUCCUUUGAAACUUAUCCCUACAAUAUUGGUUAAUGUACAUAAAUAUUACAAGCUAUAUUCACUAUAAUGUUUGAUAAUCUAUCCUACCAUACUAACUGUGAUGUUUAAUUGUUUAUUGUGUAUAUGUUUUGACGAUGCCAAACCAGAUAGCAUGUAGGAAAGAGUUCACAUGGGAGAAACUAAAUAUCCACGGAGAGAGGGGGGGAGGGAGGGAGGGAGGGAGAGAUUUGGUCGUCCUUAAUCUUUUGUGCACUCUCACAACUGGAAGGCUACAAUGUUACCAUCUUUCAUUAGACUAUGUCAAGAACUAACCUGAAAUAUGAAGUCAUGGAAAAUCUUCAUACCUCCUUUUUUUCAAGAAGGUAACAUAAAUUUUUAUGGCUCGUUUGUGGAACUGAUUAUAAAUUUGUGAUCCUAAGUGUAUUCGCAGAUAAGCAAUAAAGGCCUUUAUAGAAAAGCUACUGUAAUUUAUUGCUAAGCAUCUCAUUCGACUGCCUAAUUUUCUUGCAUUGACUGUAGAAGUUGAACUAAUUGAUGAACUAUACAUCAAUUUGCAUAGUUACUUAUAGGAACAUUUUUAACCAAGUUCUCUUCAUUGUGAUUUUCAAGCUGCUAAAGAUUACUGAUAAUUUCAGGCUUAAAUACCGUACAUAGACAUUACACUGCAUAAAACUGAGACUAAGAUUUUCUGCAAGCUUAUCAUACAAUCAUCUCAUAUUGCUGAUCCUAACAAAGAUCAAUUGUGAUGGAUCUGACAAAUACUAAUAUUUUGUGGAGCGAAGUUGACUAACCUUCCAUGGUGCCAGCAAUCCUAUGAAGGCUGGAAACCUUCAAUCACAAAUUAAGAACACCUGAAUCAUCACUUAGGGCAUUGGUUAUUUCAGCUGAUCCCUCUGUCAUAUUUGAAAAUAAUCAAAAUAAGAUUUGUGAACUCCAUUACACCAAAUAAAAUGAGUUAGACAUAUCAUCAAACACUUUGGAUGCAUAAUCUACUUCAACAACUACAGUAUUAUUUAUGUUCACAUUAAACAAAAACAAAGCAAUGAAUACAAGUGGCUGAAAAAUAUUAAAAUAUGCAGGUGUGAUAUUGUCUUAUGUUUUUUUCCUUUAGAAGAGAUUGGAACACAAGCCGGUGAAGCAUAUACAUCAGGCAUAUAUUCGACGGGGCGGUUCGAGAAAUUUUGGAAGAAAACAAAUUUUAGAAAAAUGAACGGAAAGAGGCAUGUAAUUAUAGCGGAGAUCGAAACAAACCUUAGGUGGGCUAGCUUUGCAAACAAAAUUCAUACUUUUGCUACUUUAGAUUUUUGAUGAGACAAUUUAAUUUUGGAGUAGCUAAUUUGUACUAAAAGAGAAUUAAUCAAAAAACAUCAGGAAAUAAUUACCCAAAAUCAUACAUCGGCAUUCAUCAAGGUAUACAGUUUUAGGCAUGCAUGUGAAGAUUAAAUACAAUUAUUAAGACUCAUAUAAAUUGUAGAAUAUAGCACGAAAUUACCAACAAAAGGGCAACACGCAAAGAUAGACUGGGGAACUUACCAGAACUGAGAGCUGAAACUAACAUAUAUCCAAAAAAGUGCAAUGAACGAAGAAAAUUGCAGAAACACUCACCAUCAAAGAGAUAUAGAAUUUUUUUAAAAAUUACUCCUACCAAGUAGUGAAAGAGAGAGGAAGAAGAGAACUGGAAAAAGGACGUAAUGCGCUUAGAUGACCAGACUAUUAAGUGGGAUGGAAAAGAAUAGUUUCUACACGUGUUUAUAAAGUAGUACACGCCUCACAGAAUAGUAGGAGUAAAUUCUUGGAUAACAGCAAAAUUACAAUAUUACCCUAAAAAACUCCACAAUUUUGAAAAUACAAUUCUUAUUGCUUAUUGUACAACCACAUAUUGCAGUGUUCGUACACUUCUUCACAUUUAUAUAUAGUAGUAGUAACUAUGCUCCGUCCCAUAUUACUUGUUCCCUUUUCUUCUUACACGUCCCUUAAAAAAGCUUCUUCACUUUUCUUUUUAC